UCCAGACUCCUACGGGAGGCAGCAGUGGGGAAUUUUGCGCAAUGGGGGAAACCCUGACGCAGCAACGCCGCGUGCGGGACGAAGGCCCUCGGGUUGUAAACCGCUUUCAGCAGGGAAGAUCCAAGACGGUACCUGCAGAAGAAGCUCCGGCUAACUACGUGCCAGCAGCCGCGGUAAUACGUAGGGGGCGAGCGUUAUCCGGAGUGACUGGGUGUAAAGAGUUGCGUAGGUGGCAUGAUAAGUAGCUAGUGAAAUCUGGUGGCUCAACCAUUCAGACUAUUAGCUAAACUGUUAAGCUCGAGACUGUUAGGGGUAACUGGAAUUUCUAGUGUAGGAGUGAAAUCCGUAGAUAUUAGAAGGAACACCGAUAGCGUAGGAAGGUUACUGGGACAGUUCUGACACUAAGGCACGAAAGCGUAGGGAGCAAACGGGAUUAGAUACCCUGGUA
rnacentral:rRNA from 1 species